rnacentral:rRNA from 1 species
CCAUGGGCAGGUUGAAGAUUGAGUAACAUCAAUUGGAGGACCGAACCGACUAAUGUUGAAAAAUUAGCGGAUGACUUGUGGCUAGGGGUGAAAGGCCAAUCAAACCUGGAGAUAGCUGGUUCUCCCCGAAAGCUAUUUAGGUAGCGCCUCGGACGAAUACUACUGGGGGUAGAGCACUGUUAAGGCUAGGGGGUCAUCCCGACUUACCAACCCUUUGCAAACUCCGAAUACCAGUAAGUACUAUCCGGGAGACACACGGCGGGUGCUAACGUCCGUCGUGGAGAGGGAAACAACCCAGACCGCCAGCUAAGGUCCCAAAUUACUACUAAGUGGGAAACGAUGUGGGAAGGCUCAGACAGCCAGGAUGUUGGCUUAGAAGCAGCCAUCAUUUAAAGAAAGCGUAAUAGCUCACUGGUCGAGUCGGCCUGCGCGGAAGAUGUAACGGGGCUAAGUAGUAAACCGAAGCUGCGGCAAUGCACUUUGUGCAUUGGGUAGGGGAGCGUUCUGUAAGCGGUUGAAGGUGUGUGGUAACGCAUGCUGGACGUAUCAGAAGUGCGAAUGCUGACAUGAGUAACGAUAAAGGGGGUGAAAAACCUCCUCGCCGGAAGACCAAGGGUUCCUGUCCAACGUUAAUCGGGGCAGGGUAAGUCGACCCCUAAGGCGAGGCCGAAAGGCGUAGUCGAUGGGAAACGGGUUAAUAUUCCCGUACUUCUUACAAUUGCGAUGGGGGGACGGAGAAGGCUAGGUGGGCCUGGCGACGGUUGUCCAGGUUCAAGUGCGUAGGCUGAGAAAUUAGGUAAAUCCGGUUUCUCUUAAGGCUGAGACACGACGUCGAGCUACUACGGUAGUGAAGUCAUUGAUGCCAUGCUUCCAGGAAAAGCCUCUAAGCUUCAGAUUGUAAGGAAUCGUACCCCAAACCGACACAGGUGGUCGGGUAGAGAAUACCAAGGCGCUUGAGAGAACUCGGGUGAAGGAACUAGGCAAAAUGGUACCGUAACUUCGGGAGAAGGUACGCUCUUGAUGGUGAAGUCCCUUGCGGAUGGAGCUGACGAGAGUCGCAGAUACCAGGUGGCUGCAACUGUUUAUUAAAAACACAGCACUGUGCAAAAUCGUAAGAUGACGUAUACGGUGUGACGCCUGCCCGGUGCCGGAAGGUUAAUUGAUGGGGUUAGACUUCGGUCGAAGCUCUUGAUCGAAGCCCCGGUAAACGGCGGCCGUAACUAUAACGGUCCUAAGGUAGCGAAAUUCCUUGUCGGGUAAGUUCCGACCUGCACGAAUGGCGUAAUGAUGGCCACGCUGUCUCCACCCGAGACUCAGUGAAAUUGAAAUCGCUGUGAAGAUGCAGUGUACCCGCGGCUAGACGGAAAGACCCCGUGAACCUUUACUACAGCUUGGCACUGAACAUUGACCCUACAUGUGUAGGAUAGGUGGGAGGCUUUGAAGCAAGUACGCCAGUAUUUGUGGAGCCGUCCUUGAAAUACCACCCUUGUAGUGUUGAUGUUCUAACGUUGACCCCUUAUCGGGGUUGCGGACAGUGCCUGGUGGGUAGUUUGACUGGGGCGGUCUCCUCCCAAAGAGUAACGGAGGAGCACGAAGGUGGGCUAAUCACGGUUGGACAUCGUGAGGUUAGUGCAAUGGCAUAAGCCCGCUUGACUGCGAGAAUGACAAUUCGAGCAGGUGCGAAAGCAGGUCAUAGUGAUCCGGUGGUUCUGAAUGGAAGGGCCAUCGCUCAACGGAUAAAAGGUACUCCGGGGAUAACAGGCUGAUACCGCCCAAGAGUUCAUAUCGACGGCGGUGUUUGGCACCUCGAUGUCGGCUCAUCACAUCCUGGGGCUGAAGUCGGUCCCAAGGGUAUGGCUGUUCGCCAUUUAAAGUGGUACGCGAGCUGGGUUUAGAACGUCGUGAGACAGUUCGGUCCCUAUCUGCCGUGGGCGUUGGAAGAUUGAAGGGGGCUGCUCCUAGUACGAGAGGACCGGAGUGGACGAACCUCUGGUGUUCGGGUUGUGUCGCCAGACGCAUUGCCCGGUAGCUAAGUUCGGAAUCGAUAACCGCUGAAAGCAUCUAAGCGGGAAGCGAGCCCUGAGAUGAGUCUUCCCUGAUACUUUAAGUAUCCUAAAGGGUUGUUCGAGACUAGAACGUUGAUAGGCAGGGUGUGUAAGCGUUGUGAGGCGUUGAGCUAACCUGUACUAAUUGCCCGUGAGGCUUAACC